rnacentral:rRNA from 1 species
UACGUAGGGUGCGAGCGUUGCCCGGAUUUAUUGGGCGUAAAGGGCGCGUAGGCGGCCACGCACGUCCGUUGUGAAAUCGCCCGGCUCAACUGGGCGGGGGCGGCGGAUACGGCGUGGCUGGAGCAAGCUAGGGGGCAAUGGAAUUCCCGGUGUAGUGGUGGAAUGCGUAGAUAUCGGGAGGAACACCAGUGGCGAAGGCGGUUGCCUGGAGCUUUGCUGACGCUGAGGCGCGAAAGCGUGGGGAGCGAGCCGG